GGGGAUAUAGUCUAAUUGGUAAAACUGCGAAUUUGCAUUUCGCUAUUUCGGGUUCAAGUCCUGAUAUCUCCA
rnacentral:tRNA from 1 species